UUACCAAUUGGCUCAGACAACGGGCCGGCAUUUGUGGCUGACUUGGUACAGAAGACAGCAAUGGUAUAGGGGAUCACAUGGAAACUACAUACCACCUAUCGACCACAAAGUUCUGGAAAGGUGGACCGGAUGAAUCGGACUAUCAAAAAUAGUUUAGGGAAAGUGUGUCAAGAAACAGGAUUAAAGUGGGUACAAGCUCUCCCUGUGGUAUUGUUUAAGAUUAGAUGUACCCUUUCUAAAAGAACAGGAUAUUCCCCUUAUGAAAUAUUAUAUCAUAGCCCCCUCCCACACUACAGGGACUCCCAGGCACUCCGCAAGAGCUAGGUGAAAUUGAGUUACAGUGAUAGCUACAGGCUUUAGGGAAGAUAACAACAAAAAAUUUCAGCCUGGGUAAGUGAGAGGUGCCCCAUCAGCUUACUCUCCCCAGUUCACCCUUUCUCCCCAGGUGAUCGGGUGUGGAUCAAGGAUUCGAACGUAGCCCCCUUGCAGCCACGGUGGAAAGGACCCCAGACCGUCGUCUUGACCACUCCCACAGCCAUAAAGGUAGAGGGAAUCCCAGCCUGGAUCCACCACAGCCACGUAAAACCUGCAGCACCUGAGACCUGGGAGGCGAGACCAAGCCCGUACAACGCCUGCAAAAAAGUAACUUUGAAGAAGACGACAAGCCCUGUUCCAGUCACACCCAGAAGCUAACUGGUCCACGCAUGGCCAAAGCAUGAGGAAACUCAUCCUGGAACUCAUUUUCCUUAAAUUCUGGAUUUGUACAGUAAGGACUUCAACUGACCUUCUUCAGACUGAGGACUGUUCCCAGUGUAUGCAUCAAGUUACUGAGGCAAACAAAGACUGGACUUACUCAUUGAGUGCAAAACACACAACAAAGGCUGAAGGCACUUCAAGCACUCGUGGUCCAAAGAUCGGGCAGAAAAAUUCAGAUGCAUCCUCACAAAAAUUAUGGCAGCAGCAAGUAAGAAGGUAAUGAUCCUGAGAAUCAGCACCCAAGACCAGUGGUCAGUCCAGCAGGAAAGAGAUAAAGGUGGCAUGGGACAAGCGCCACCCUCACCUCUGGGGACCAUCCCCCAGACACCAAGCAGGAAGACGAAGCUCAGGUCACAUUCAUCAUGGCUGAACUCCAGGUCACCUGUGGUGCAGA
rnacentral:lncRNA from 1 species